rnacentral:rRNA from 1 species
UACAGAGGUCUCGAGCGUUAGGCGGAAUCACUGGGCUUAAAGCGUGUGUAGGCGGAUUGGUAAGUACUUUGUGAAAUCCCACGGCUUAACCGUGGAACUGCUUGGUAUACUGCCAGUCUUGAGCCAGCUAGGGGCUACCGGAACAAAUGGUGGAGCGGUGAAAUGCGUAGAUAUCAUUUGGAAUGCCAAUGGUGAAAACAGGUAGCUGGGGCUGUGCUGACGCUGAGACACGAAAGCCAGGGGAGCAAACGGG